UACGUAGGGUGCGAGCGUUGUCCGGAAUUAUUGGGCGUAAAGAGCUUGUAGGCGGUUUGUCGCGUCUGCUGUGAAAAUCCGGGGCUCAACCCCGGACUUGCAGUGGGUACGGGGCAGACUAGAGUGUGGUAGGGGAGACUGGAAUUCCUGGUGUAGCGGUGAAAUGCGCAGAUAUCAGGAGGAACACCGAUGGCGAAGGCAGGUCUCUGGGCCACUACUGACGCUGAGAAGCGAAAGCGUGGGGAGCGAACAGG
rnacentral:rRNA from 1 species